UACGUAGGUGGCAAGCGUUGUUCGGAAUUAUUGGGCGUAAAGGGCGCGUAGGCGGUUUGUUAAGUCGGCUGUGAAAGCCCGGGGCUCAACCCCGGAGGGUCAGCCGAUACUGGCAGACUAGAGUACGGAAGAGGUAGCUGGAAUUCCCGGUGUAGCGGUGAAAUGCGUAGAGAUCGACCAGAACACCGGUGGCGAAGGCGGGUCUCUGGACAGUUCCUGACGCUCAGGCACGAAAGCCAGGGGAGCGAACGGG
rnacentral:rRNA from 1 species